rnacentral:rRNA from 1 species
GCCGUCUUAGCAUGCAGUCGAGCGGUAAGGGGAGCUUGCUCCCCCUAGAGCGGCGGACUGGUGAGUAACGCGUGGGUGACCUGCCUUGAGGCCGGGGAUAGCCGUUAGAAAUAGCGGGUAAUACCGGAUAUGGUUGCCGGGCUGUGGCUUGGCAAAGAAAGGGGCUUUGGCCCCGCCUCGAGAUGGGCCCGCGUCCCAUUAGCUAGUUGGGGGUGUAAAGGACCACCAAGGCGAAGAUGGGUAGCCGGCCUGAGAGGGUGAACGGCCACACUGGGACUGAGAUACGGCCCAGACUCCUACGGGAGGCAGCAGCUAAGAAUAUUCCGCAAUGGGGGAAACCCUGACGGAGCGACGCCGCGUGGAUGAGGAAGGCCGCAAGGUUGUAAAAUCCUUUUAUUGCUGAAGAAUAAGCGGGGGAGGGAAUGCCUUCGUGAUGACGAUAAGCAAUGAAUAAGCCCCGGCUAAUUACGUGCCAGCAGCCGCGGUAACACGUAAGGGGCGAGCGUUGUUCGGAAUUAUUGGGCGUAAAGGGCGCGUAGGCGGUUACGCAAGUCUGGCGUGAAAGGCGUGGGCUCAACUCACGGACUGCGCUGGAAACUAGGUAACUAGAGUAUAGGAGGGGCAGCCGGAAUUCCUGGUGUAGGGGUGAAAUCUGUAGAUAUCAGGAAGAACACCGGUGGCGAAGGCGGGCUGCUAGUCUGAUACUGACGCUGAGGCGCGAAAGUGCGGGGAGCAAACAGGAUUAGAUACCCUGGUAGUCCGCACUAUAAACGAUGCACACUAGUGUUGGGCCGAGCGUUCAGUGCCGGAGCGAACGUGAUAAGUGUGCGCUGGGAGUAUGCCCGCAAGGUGAACUCAAAGGAAUGACGGGGCCCGCACAGCGUGAGCAUGUGUAUCGAUGAUACGNAGACUACUGGUUGAC